GUUGGAUGGAGGACUUUUGUUAAUUGGUGCAGCUUUUCUUCCUAAUUUAUUUUUAAUGGCUUUCUUGAGACUUUUUAUUAUAGCAUUAAGGACAAAGGCCUAGCAUUCACACUGUCUUUUGCACCUCUAAUUUGAAAAUCUAACAUCCUACUAAAUUUUUCAUAAAAUCAUUAAGAAGUUCCUAAUAUGUGUUUUUCCAAUUUAUACCUUGAACUGGAGUUGU
rnacentral:misc_RNA from 1 species